UACGUAGGGUGCAGGCGUUAAUCGGAAUUACUGGGCGUAAAGCGUGCGCAGGCGGUUUGCUAAGACAGGUGUCAAAUCCCCGGGCUUAACCUGGGAACUGCGCUUGUAACUGGCAAGCUAGAGUGUGGCAGAGGGGGGUGGAAUUCCACGUGUAGCAGUGAAAUGCGUAGAGAUGUGGAGGAACACCGAUGGCGAAGGCAGCCCCCUGGGCUAACACUGACGCUCAUGCACGAAAGCGUGGGGAGCAAACAGG
rnacentral:rRNA from 1 species